AACGCACGAGACCUGCGGACCUGCGGAGGGAUCAUUACCGAGUUUACAACUCCCAAACCCAAUGUGAACCAUACCAAACUGUUGCCUCGGCGGGGUCACGCCCCGGGUGCGUCGCAGCCCCGGAACCAGGCGCCCGCCGGAGGGACCAACCAAACUCUUUCUGUAGUCCCCUCGCGGACGUUAUUUUUACAGCUCUGAGCAAAAAUUCAAAAUGAAUCAAAACUUUUAACAACGGAUCUC
rnacentral:misc_RNA from 1 species